UGGGGAAUCUUCCGCAAUGGACGAAAGUCUGACGGAGCAACGCCGCGUGAGUGAAGAAGGUUUUCGGAUCGUAAAAACUCUGUCUUUUGGGGCGAACGUGAGUAUGGGUGAAUAAUCAUAGUCAGUGACGGUACCAAAGGAGGAAGCCACGGCUAACUACGUGCCAGCAGCCGCGGUAAUACGUAGGUGCAAGCGUUGUCCGGAAUUAUUGGGCGUAAAGAGCGCGUAGGCGGGAUAGUCAGUCUGUUGUAAAAGUGCGGGGCUCAACCCCGUGAUCGCAAUGGAAACAGCUAUUCUUGAGUGCAGGAGAGGAAAGUGGAAUUCCCAGUGUAGCGGUGAAAUGCGUAGAUAUUGGGAGGAACACCAGUGGCGAAGGCGACUUUCUGGACUGUGUCUGACGCUGAGGCGCGAAAGCCAGGGGGAGGCGAACC
rnacentral:rRNA from 1 species